GACGAACGCUGGCGGCGUGCCUAAUACAUGCAAGUCGAGCGGACGAAUCGAAAGCUUGCUUUUGAUUCGUUAGCGGCGGACGGGUGAGUUACACGUGGGCAACCUGCCCUGUAGACGGGGAUAACACCGAGAAAUCGGUGCUAAUACCGGAUAACACGAAAUGUCGCAUGACGUUUCGUUGAAAGACGGCGCAAGCUGUCGCUACAGGAUGGGCCCGCGGCGCAUUAGCUAGUUGGUGAGGUAACGGCUCACCAAGGCGACGAUGCGUAGCCGACCUGAGAGGGUGAUCGGCCACACUGGGACUGAGACACGGCCCAGACUCCUACGGGAGGCAGCAGUAGGGAAUCUUCCGCAAUGGACGAAAGUCUGACGGAGCAACGCCGCGUGAGCGAAGAAGGCCUUCGGGUCGUAAAGCUCUGUUGUUAGGGAAGAACAAGUAACGCAGUAACUGGCGUUACCGUGACGGUACCUAACGAGAAAGCCACGGCUAACUACGUG
rnacentral:rRNA from 1 species